AAGAGCUGUUCAGCUCUUUUGGAUUUUUUCAAGCAGCUUCUCUGACCUUAGUCAGAAAACCCAU